rnacentral:rRNA from 1 species
CCUUGUACACACCGCCCGUCACACCAUGGGAGUGGGUUGUACCAGAAGUCGUUAGCUUAUCCGCAAGGGGGCGACGACCACGGUAUGGUUCAUGACUGGGGUG